rnacentral:rRNA from 1 species
AUUGAACGCUGGCGGCAUGCCUUACACAUGCCAGUCGAACGGCAGCACGGGUGCUUGCACCUGGUGGCGAGUGGCGAACGGGUGAGUAAUACAUCGGAACAUGUCCUGUAGUGGGGGAUAGCCCGGCGAAAGCCGGAUUAAUACCGCAUACGAUCUACGGAUGAAAGCGGGGGACCUUCGGGCCUCGCGCUAUAGGGUUGGCCGAUGGCUGAUUAGCUAGUUGGUGGGGUAAAGGCCUACCAAGGCGACGAUCAGUAGCUGGUCUGAGAGGACGACCAGCCACACUGGGACUGAGACACGGCCCAGACUCCUACGGGAGGCAGCAGUGGGGAAUUUUGGACAAUGGGCGAAAGCCUGAUCCAGCAAUGCCGCGUGUGGGAAGAAGGCCUUCGGGUUGUAAAGCACUUUUGUCCGGAAAGAAAUCCUUGGCCCUAAUACGGUCGGGGGGAUGACGGUACCGGAAGAAUAAGCACCGGCUAACUACGUG